UCAACAAUUCCUGCAGACACCCUCUCUUCCUUAUUGAUCUCUUCAGACUUCAGCACCGCAACUUUGCAUGCUACAUCUCCACCAUUAACCACCCAUACAACACCUUCAUUCCACAACCCAAUUCCUUCUCUACAAGAACAUCAUGAUUUACACCUAUGUGAUUCUCUUCUCAGAAAUAUCAACCAUACGUCUACAAGUCUAGCCAUCCCCUUUUCAACAAUCACAAAACUGACUUCAGCGGCCACUAUCUUAAGUGAACCCACUUCCUCAAUCCUAAUCUCUCAUCAUAAUACCCUGCUUCUAUCAUCGACUAGCUUAGAACAUGCAACACCCCUCUCUUUUACACAAUCACGGGCAUACUUACCUAAGAGAAACUAUCAGAAACAAUAAUUGGUGCUUUCAUCUACCUCGUCUAACCAUGAACCAAUCACGCAACCCCCGCCCUAAGGCACCAAUAGUCUACACCUCUCAAUCUUUUCAGAGGACCAACCCCUCCAGUCAUAGCUGGAGAUGGACUUAUAGGGUUAUGCACUGACCUUCACUAUAGAACUCAACAAUCAGGAAGUGGCCCUCCUAGUCCACAAUCUAACCCACCUAGCGGAGAUAGUCACCAAGGGGAUGCACCUAGGAAUGGACGCCUAUGGCCAGAGCCAGUGGUAAAUGACUCAAACCCCACUUCUUGUCGAUCACAACCGCCCCUUCUCCUCUCGACUCCCCAAUGGAGCUACCACAUGCAUCCAUCCACUCACCAAAUGCACCAACCCAUAAAUUUGCUCCCUUUCUACCCACCACACUACUCAGGACCGAUAUAUGCACCAUGGUUCCAGCAAAAUCAACGCCUUCAACCCUGCCAUACCUUUACCGUACCCGACCAGCCCCUACGAUCCCCUAACCCCCCACAGAGUCCACCACGCACUCCACCUCCACCUCCAAAACACUCGAUAAGGAAAUACAUUGAGAGGUAGGAGAUAACGGCAAAAAUAAGGGAAACAAGGAACGAGUUUCUUUUUAAAAGGUAUCUAUCUGUACAUUCUCAAAGAACAGUAUGCAAAAAAAUUCAUCCUCAAAUAUCCCCUCGGUCUAGAAAAAUGCAGUCUCAAUUUUCAAACCAAUGGCAAUCGCAAGGCAGAGAAGUAUGCCAUGGUUAUAAUUCUGACGCUUUGCGGAACAACCCCUCAUAUUGCUCUGCACCAGGAAGCCCAAGGAGUGGACCAUCUUCCAGUUCUUAAUUCGCUUGUUGUGGACUAACCCAAAUACCCAAUCUAUCAAUUAUGAACAUAAUCAUUUAGAAUUUCAGAUGAUCGCAUAAUGCGGAGUUUAGGCAUCAGUUCAGCUCUUUACUUGAUACUUGUAGGCAUGUUUUGGCUGUCCUUCUAGAAACUCACAUGCAGGAUCACACCAUACUUAGAGACGAUUUUCAGUUCACCAAUCUAUCCCAAGUUCCAGCUAAUGGCCUUUCAAGCGGGUUAGUUGUUUUAUGGAAUACUAUUUUAAUCACUAUAGAGGAGCUUCGAAUGUCUGAACAUGAAAUACAAUGUAUGGUUCAGGUAUGGCCUAACCCUUCUAAGUGGUUGUUUUCCGCUAUUUAUGCUAAAGCUUCAUGUAAAUUCGUGAUAUUCUGUGUAAUAACUUGAUGUCCAUGCAUGAUCUGUAUAAGGGUUCUUGGCACAUAGGGGCAAUUUUAAUGACAUUCUCCGAACAUCAAAGAAGUUUGGAGGACGCCCCAUUAGCAAUCACAAGUCGGACUCUUUCGCAAAUUAUCUUAACUACUGUAAUUUGAUAGUUUAGGAGUUAGGGGCAGCCGCUAAACCUGGACAAACAAGCGCAAACAUGGUUAUGCCAUACUCGAACGCUUGAACCGUGUCCUAUAAAAUUAUGACUGGAUAAACUGCUAUCCCGAAGCCAUGGUUCGUCAUUUACCACGAACCCACUCCGAUAAUUGUCCUUCGUUAAUUACUUUAGAGGCACAACGUGCUCCUAUCCAAAAAACUUUCACUUUGAAAUAAUUUGGACUUCUCUCAUCCAGAUUGUCGAAAACUAGUUCAUCAAACUUGAUCAACGAAUAAUAAUCUGAUCGACGCCACUGAGGCUUUCAAAACUACUAUUCUUCACUGAUAAGCACUCAUUUGGCAACAUUUUUGCCAGGAAAAUAAAAUUAUUAGAUUGCAGGGAUUCAAGCAUCUGUCCAUAAUCCCACUAGCUCGUUCUUCCAAAAUUUAGAAGUCCAGCUUACCAAUGAACACAACUCACUCCUAAAAUUAGGAGAGGGAGUUUGAAAAUAAAUCAUGAAUUAGUUUGCUCAAUGAUGAAGAUGCCAAUACCAAAUUUUUUCCACAUGUCUACUCUUCAUAAACGUAGACAAAAAUGUAUCUCAGCUCUAAAGGACUCUGUUGGAAAUUGGUGUUAUGACCCUAUCCAAAUACAUAGCACCAUUCAAACUUACUACACAAAUUUAUUUACUAUUGAACAUGUGCAAUCUACUCUCACUGUUUAUCUCCUCAAGAAUAUCUUACUCUUCAGAGCCACUCUGGGACAUUGAAAUUAGACAAGUACGUCACUCUUUCAAACCUUUCAAAGUUCUGAGGCCUGAUGGCUUACACCCUAUGUUUUAUCAAAACUAUUGGAAUGAAGUAUGCCCUUCAGUCACAUCAUUAUGCCACCAAGUCUUUAGAGAACAUGCUAUACCCUUGGAUAUUAAUCAAACUUAUCUGUGUUUUAUUCCAAAAGUUACAAAUAACAGUAGUAAUGCUCAAUAUCACCCUAUUAGUCUUUGCAAUACCAUAUACAAAAUAAUUACCAAAAUAAUCCUUAACUGUAGUAAGCCUUUUAUUUUUAAAAUCAUAAGCCCUACACAGUCAAGUUUCCAAAAAGGUAAGCGAGCAUCAGACAACGCGAUUAUUGCCCAAGAGAUCUUACACCAUUUUACCAAAAUGUAUGGCAACCAGAGCGUCGUGAUGCUUAAAUUAGACUUACAAAAAGUAUUUGAUAGGCUCGAAUGGUCUUUUAUUUACCAGACUGUUCAUUUCUUUAAAUUUUCAAAACAUCUACCAUCAAACUAAUUAUGUCUUGCUGAACAUCCAUGUCCGCCUCCAUACUUAUUAAUGGUACAAGUACGCCAUUUUUCUUCCCUUAUAGGGGACUUAGGUAAGGAGAUCAUCUUUCACCUUACAUAUUUAUAAUGUGCAUAGAAAUGCUUUCUCAAAGUAUCUCCUUAUCGAUGGACUACCUCGCUUGGAAACUAAUUUCUAUUUCUAGAACCAUUCCUCACUUGUCUUACUUUUUUUUUUGUAGAUGAUAUUAUACUACUCUAAAAAAUAGGUACUAAGAGAUAUCACGUAACAAUCUAUACUCUUAAUCAUUUUAAUUCUCACUCAAGACAAAAGAUAAAUUUUGAGAAGUCAAAAAUCUUCUUUUCUAAGAAUUACACUCCUACGGAUAAGUACUUCGUCCUCAGUUCCUUUAAAAUGGAAAGAGGUACGACCUUUGGGAAAUACCUUGAUUUUCCUAUAUUUCAUAAACGACCCAAAUGCAAUGACUUCCAAUUCUUGCUGGAUACUUUAAGAAUGGACUAGAUGGUUGGAAAUCGAAUUUCCUCACAUUACCCGGAUGAACAACUAUUAUUAAGUCCAUGCUUUAUAGUCUCCCAAAUCAUGUGAUAUAAAUUAUCUCAAUUUCUUCCUCAAUCCUUCACAAAAUAGAACAAUACCAGUGUAAUUUCCCAUGGGGCAUGACAACCACCGGGAGAAAACUACAUCUUUUAAAUUGGAAAAUUGUUACCACUGCUAAAGCCACAGGAGGUCUGGGUAUCCAGAGGUUGCAUACUAAAAAUCAAGCCCUUCUCGCGAGCCUAUCCUGGAAACUCUUUCAGUUACCUACUACCCUUUGGGCUUCGACUCAGCUUCAUAAAUAUCUGCAUCUCCAUACAUCCAAUACAACUCAUUCUCCUGUCUGGAGGAAUAUUAUUAAUGGAUGGUCAUUCUGUCAACAUGGGUUGCAAUGGCAAAUGGCUCUGGGCAUCAUAUUAAAUUUUGGGAUGAUCCUUGGAUUGGGACGGGUACACAUCCUUGCGAUCUGCCAUCUAGGGGUUAUCGCCACUUCAAAACGUAACCACAAUAAUUCACCAAUAUCAUACUCCUACUAGAUGUGAUUGGGAUAAUAUAACCCACGAUGGCACGACAUACCCUCCAACAUUAAGGACCACAUGCACAGUACUCAUAUAUCUCAAUAUACCUAUUAAGUAGAUUGCAUAUUCUGGGCUUUAACAAGUAGUGGUUCAUUUUCCGUUAGAUAUAGUACAAAUCUCUAAUUAAUGAUACUUUGGGAACACACUCUCAUACAGUUAAUUUUAAAUGGAUCUAGACAUUAUCUAUAACGCCAAAAAUCUGAUAUUUUCUCUGGCUAUUAAACCAUGACUUCCUACCGGACACUACCUGCACCACAUUGUCUUGCUAUCGGAUGCCUUAUGCCCCAUUGCCAAGCACCCAAUGAGACAUCCACUCAUAUCUUCUUGGUCUGCCCGAAUGCUCAAACCCGUUGGAAAAGAUUACGCCUACACAUUCUUCCCACUUUCCUCGCGCACCACUCUCCACCAUCAUAGUGGCUGCACACACUUAUUCAUACUAAGCACAACCAUAUACCAUACAACAUUCAUCCACAUACUUUUGUUCCUCUAACCUUGUGGAGUAUUUGGUUCACUAGAAACACUAAUGUAUUUGAACACAAAAGACUCUCCAUCCCACACCAAUCCAUUGUGCAUCAAGCAAUUGAAUUCACGUACCGAGCUGCUUAGUAGGUUUCUAACAUCCUAAACACCUUUUUCUUUGAAAUGGCUACCACCCAAACUUAAUCAAUACAAGCUAAACACUAACGGGGAGGCUGUGAAAGCCACGAGAAAUUAUAGGAUCGGCAGAGUCAUACACAUCUCUACAGGCACCUCCUCCGCAAGCUCCAUGAUCCACUAGUCAUCCACACGAACAUAGAGAUAAAUAGUGUAGCAGACAAGUUAGGAAACAAAGGUAAUAGAGUGGAGGACUUUGCAGAACCUGAAGUUUUUGAAGCCCCACCCCUUUUGUUACUGACUAGCUCCACGUAGAUCGGCUCGGUGAUGCUACUAUCCAAUUGGUACCACCAUGGACUACUGCAGUCCAUGUGACUGACCCUCCAUCUUUUGCGACGCCAUCACCAACAUAUUACUCGCGACUGUCCUACUUUUGGAUACCUGGUGCUGCACAAGAGUUUGCUCAUCCAGUAGACUCAACUUUUUGUAGCAACCCAUGUAUCAAACCUUAUCCCUUGAUGUUUGCAUCGGUAAUUGUUGUAAUAGUAACUGUUGUAGUAGCUAUAAAUUGGUGCAUCCUACACACUAUCUUCCAUGUACGCGUAACGACCCAACUGGUCGUUUUGAGCUC